CCUACGGGUGACAGCAGUGAGGAAUAUUGGUCAAUGGGCGCGAGCCUGAACCAGCCAAGCCGCGUGAGGGAAGACGGUCCAAUGGCUUGUAAACCUCUUUUGUCGGGGAGCAAAAGACGCCACGCGUGCCGUUCUGAGAGUACCUGAAGAAAAAGCAUCGGCUAACUCCGUGCCAGCAGCCGCGGUAAUACGGAGGAUGCGAGCGUUAUCCGGAUUUAUUGGGUUUAAAGGGUGCGCAGGCGGAAGAUCAAGUCAGCGGUAAAAUUGAGGGGCUCAACCUCUGCGAGCCGUUGAAACUGGUGGGCUUGAGUGGGCGAGAAGUAGGCGGAAUGCGUGGUGUAGCGGUGAAAUGCAUAGAUAUCGCGCAGAACUCCGAUUGCGAGGGCAGCAUACCGGCGCUCAACUGACGCUCAUGCACGAAAGUGUGGGUAUCGAACAGGAUUAGAUACCCGGGUAGUC
rnacentral:rRNA from 1 species